CCCGAGGCGGGGCUCGAACUCACGAACCGAACCGUGAGAUCCUGACCUGAGCCCAAGUCGGAGGCUUAACCGACUGAGCCACCCGGGUGCCCCUCCCUUUUCAUUUUGAACACCGGCAAGCAAACAAACAGACGAAAUCGAGAGGACAGUCUAAGGCAGCGCAGGUGCCCACCCCCCGGGGCUAGCGGCGGCCUCCAGCUUGCCUUGUUUGCUUGUUUCUCUCUUUCUCGGUUUCUCCCUCCCUUUGUCCUUCUAUCCUUCGCUCCCUGCUUUUCUCGCUCUCUCGCUCUCUCUUUCUCUCCCUCCUUUUCCCUUUCCUUUGUUUCUGCUGAAAUAGUUUACAGGAAGCGUGCAUACCAUUUUCUCCCUACGUGCUUCAAGAAGGAAGGACAUUUCCUCCCAUGACCCAGGGCCGUUAUCCAUCCAACCCAUGCCCGGCGCGGGCUCCUGCUGUCGUCUGAGAGCCUCUGCACAGUCACCCUCCAGGCCCCCACUGCCUUUGACUCCUCUUUCCUUCACGCCAGCAUCUCAUCAAGGACUUUGUUACACUUGACCAUUGGCCGUCUGGUUAUCUUUUCAUCUGAAGCAGCCUCUCUCCCCGGCCUCGUCUUUUCCCCCUGGCGCUGAGACACGCAGGGGACCGGGAACAGCCCACCUUCUAGAUUGGGCCGGUUGCUCCCUUGUAGCUAGUGUCUUUAAGUGGUCCCUCUGUCCCCAGUAUCCUUUAUAAACCGGGUGUGGGGGCACAAGGCUGCACUAGAAUUGGGUCCAGCUUUGGCAAGAGCCUUGUGCCCUCCCUGGGGUGGCAUCGUCACAGGAGGGCUGUCCGACCUGUGUCCAGCAGCCGUUCGCUUAGCUUUCUGUCUCGGGACCAGCGGUAAGCAGGGGAAGACAUCUUGACAUCGUGCGGCUAUCCACGCCUCCGAGGCGUGUCACCCGGCGGUUUUCGCGUCCACUCCGCCUUAAGGGAUUCUUUCCAUCUGAUUAAUGUAAAUGUCUUCAUCAGACGCAUGAGUUUAUUUCUUCUGGGCUAGUGUUGGUUGACAGCUCGUCACUGGCGAUAAGGGACCUUGCGGCAAUUUAAAUGCUCCGGGACCCCGUCCCCCCAUCCUCUCUCCUGUAGCAUGAAUAAGCUGGAGUCACCCAUGCAGCAAAAGCAUCCUGGGCCCGCUCCCCACCAGCCACUGCCUGGCUCUUCCUCUUCCCCACCGGGGAAUUGCACAUUCUGGCCUCCAGCUGGGUGCGGAGCACAUCCUUGGAGCAAACUUUCUUCGGCCCCGCUGUUUCCUGGCACUGAGAGCCGAUGCGGAGGAAUCAGACACUGCCCGCUCUGUCCCUGACAGACUCUUCCUGCCCUUGGUGUGGAGUGGUAUGUGUGUGUUGGGAGUUUUUCUGUGAGGACCCUGACCUGAGAGGAAAAGGGGUCAGCAGUGGAGCUUCCGGGGAUGGCUGGAAAGUCGGGGUGCAGGGGUCCUGCCCCCAUGGGAAGAAAGGAAUGAGAAAGAGGAAGCCAAGGCUCGCCGGAGGUGGGCAGGACUCCCUGUCUGGCGGCCCACCGCCCAGGUGAGGGGAGAGGGCGGCAGCUCGGUCUGGGAAAGUGUUAUGGGUUGGAUUGUGUCCCCCAAGAAAGAUGUGUUCGAGUCUUGCGCGCCAGCAGCUGUGACUGGGACCUAACCUGGAUGAGGUGGUGCUGGACUAGGGCGGGCCUCAUCUCGCACUUGGCUUUUGCCAAUCCCCUGAGCUUGUAUGUACCCCCGCGAUGGCAGCCAUUCUCUUGAAGGCCGGACCCAAGGUGAGCGGGGCUGCCUGACCGUCUCCGUCCGCCCCCUCAUCAUGCCCCAGCCUCACAGCUCUGGCAACCCCGAGUCUCCCCUUAGCUGCUGAGUUCUCUGAGUCCCCACCCCCACCCCCACCCCAUGUUUGGCUGCCGCCCGCCCAUCCUGUGACCCAUGGGGCUGAAUUCCCCUGCAGCCCCAGGAAUUUCUCACUUUAGGUGCCGGUAUCGUUUGAAGACGUGCCCGUGUACUUCAUCAAGACAGGAUGGAAGCUUCUGGACCUCAGUCAAAGGAUCCCCUCUACAAGAGAGUGUUGCUGGAGAACUACCGCCAUUUGGUGUCACUGGAUGCUGACGCCGGUCUGAGUUCAGGAGUGACUGAUCUGCUUCGUUUCCAUGGACCGGACUUUUAGCCUCCAAGCCUCACCUGGUCUCCUGGCUGGAGCAAGGGGACGAGCCCCAGGCAGCAGACAUCCACGGGACUCGGGCUGCUGCGGGGGUGCGGACGGGUGACGGGAUAGAGAACAGGACGUUGACUUCAAAGCAGAAGCAUUGCCCCCAAGAGCUCCCGAGGACUGACCCUCGGGCCGGUAACGAGAGCCAGGUGGCCCGGCCAACAGGGGAGACUGCUAAUCGCACAGGGAAACAUGCUCGUUCCCCACAGACGGGUUCCGGCAGGGAUGACCAGCCCGGGGAGAGAGGUCAAGGCGGCUCCUCCGGUGAGGGAAGAGCGAUGAGGCAGAGAAGACAGGACGGCGUGAGGCAGGAUUAGGGUCUCAGGCCGCGGGGUGCGCCGGGCGCCGACAAGCGGCACCUGUGUCCGCAGUGUGGGAAAUCCUUCAGUCGCAGCUCCAACCUACUCAAGCACCAGUGCACCCACAGCGGCCACAAGCCCUACACGUGCGGCUAGUGUCUCAAGGCCUUCAAGGGAGCGUCCCAGCUCAUUCACCACCAGCGCGUCCACAGCGGGGAGAAGCCGUUCGCGUGCCAAGAGUGCGGGAAGGCCUUCGGAGGCGCUCCCCCCUCUUCAAGCGCUGGGCGACUUGCGGCGAGGGGCGGCCCUGCGGGUGUCCGCACUGCGGGAGGGUGUUCCGGAGCCGCUUGUCCCUCCCGGAGCACCGGCGCGCCCCGGGCGGCCAGCGCGGCCUAGCCUGUGAGGGGGCAGUGUGGCUCGGCGACCCCGCGGCAGCCGCGGGGGUGGGAAGCCCUCGGAGAAGAGCCACGGGGGAAAGGCGCCGGCCUGUUUGGGUGCGAGGGCCAGAAAGUCCGGGGACACCGCGAAUGCGCGGCCACCGGCAGUACAGCCUGCUCGCCUGGGAGAGGGCCCGCUUUAAAGCCUGGGGCCUCCCGCUCCCCUGCCUUUGAUCGCUGACGACACGACUGAAGCACAGAGACCUCAGAACAGAUCCAUGUUCUGUGCUGGAACUGCCCAGAUCCCCCUACCCCACGCGGGUCAGCGCUGCGCUCCAGCAGGGCCCUGUCGUGGGCACAGCCGCCUCCGGUGAGGGACGAGUGGUCUCUCGUGUCGUGGGACCAUCCGCUUCGCUCCAAGACUUCUUUGUGUUUCCAGAUAAAAACACUAAAAGCACUUUAAUCCUUUCAGAGCUCAUAAACGGGGGCGGGGGGGGGGGGGGGUGGCGUGACGGAAUUCUACAACUAGACUGUGGCCGGCCCGUGACAUCACCUCAAAUGCAUCAAGAAACCGUCCGAAAACGGCCUUGGGCGAACACAUUCGUGGACAGCUCACGCCCAGGUGUCAGGCUGCGGGAAGCGGUGUCUCCUCUCUAAGCCCGCAGCUCCACGGGAGGAAACGGGACACCCUGCCAUCAUGCUGACUGGUGGCCCGCUCUUUUUCCAGGCCCUCUGUCCCCGUGCCAGAGAGGCUCAGCCUUCUCCUUUGAGAAGCAGCCCCCGGGGCCCAUCUUCUCGGAGCCCUGGGGCGGGGCAGGGGAGUCAGGGGACACUCUGGUCCCUCGCAGGAGCGGGCUCCGGGCAAGACCCCGCACGAGCUGGCCUGCUGCUAUCCGUCUCCUCCCGCCCGGUGCCCCAGGCUCACCCUACUUACUGCCGUCUGCCUCCCACACCCCAGCAGCACAGACCAGCCUGGCCUCUCUGCCCCUCCUCCCCACCCUCAGUGCCUAAAGCUUCACACUUAGCUGCUCUCCCUCAAGUGGCCACCUCUUGUGGCUGGUGCCGAUCAGGAACAAAACGAGACGGGCUACGAAUUUGCACACAGCAUGCCCAGUGAUGGCUCUCUCAUUGGACCUUCGUAUGAUAUUUCUUACAAUACUGCACGUUCACUUGCUUUCAGCAUUUUUGUAUUCGGGAGUAACGUAAGCUAGAGAUUUCGGCCAUAUAAGGAAGGGUGUUGGUGAAUCGCUCCUGAAAUAAGAAUCCCGCCAACCCUGUGAGAAGACCUCAGGCAGGAGAAAGAGACACCCGAUGGGUGCGAUGGGUGCGGUGGUGAGCCUGGCCCCUCUUCUCCCUCCUCCCCCUGAGCCCCACGGAAACAGGGCGGCCCCUUCAAAUGGCACUUUCCUGCAGCCUCCUGCUGGCCAGGGGGUGGCGGCUGCUGGCAGGCUCUGCCCUCUUCUGUCCGCACCGUCCCCAGAGCCGGGUUCAGGAGUUCGGCCCCUGGGUGCUCUCAGCCCAGCGUCCUGGUUGGCUUGCCUCCUCCUUCCAGCCCCCUCCACUGCUGGGACCUCUGGCGGGCAACUGGUAGGUAUGCUGAGCACCCCCUAUGGGCCUCCGAGGAUCGUGUGCGCCUUCCCUGCCACACAGUGAGAGGCUCAAAGCACCCUCAGGACAGUGUGGGGAAGAUCUGGAAAUACAGGAUUUCUUCCGAGCAUGCUUCUUGGAGCUCCAGUCACUAGGACGACUCCAGGAGCAAGAGAUACAGAUAGAUAGAAACACAUUGACAUAGAAGUUUUAUAUAGCUAUAUUAGAAUGAUUUUUAGACACGACUUACGGAAAGUUCAAGAGUUCUUGCAACUUGCUUUUAUCUCAGAGCCCCUUUCACAGGGUCUGUGUCCCCUUGUCCUUCGAUUGCCUUCUGCUCUUUGUGUCACAUUCAUCUUUGUCGGCACCUCAGAAACAUGAAGUAUUAAGGCCACUGUCUUUGAAGUCCACGGACAGGACGUGUGGAAGCACGUGUUUUUAUGAGGCACAAUCUUUGCCAGGGCUGGGGUGGAUUCAGGAAGCCAAUCCCAGUGCAGAACAAGAGACAGUGGCGGGAGGCAUUGGGAUGACAACUGCCACGCGGUGGUGGGAACUAGAAAGAGAUCAGAUCCCGGGGCUCUGAUGUCUGUUUCCAUCACCGUAGUAAGUGAGCCGUCUCAACUCUGCAGGCCAGUCAGUAACUGGCUUCACUAAAGAAGAGUCAUAGCCCCCGUGGAAUGUCAUCCCAUGGGUUCUACUGGAUGAGCCACCUUGAUUUUGUGGUUUUCUUUCUAAUGUGCUCUGAAAUUGGGCUCCCACACAACUGAACGCAAAAGCUCACGCUACUGGAGGACAUCCUGCCGGCUUUCCAGUCCCUUCCCCAAGAACUUCCCUGGACGUCGGCCCCGUCGCGCUUCUCGACUGGUGUGCUUCAGGGACGGCCCCGUAAGACACGGUGCCAGCGCACAGUGUGUCUGACGUUGAGACCACUCGCCCUGUGAAACUGUGCAGACUUUCCAAGAGCCAUUUAAAUGCUGUGGCGGUGCCUCCACGUAACUGGUGAAUUGCCUCGACCGCAUUCAUUUACUUUGGGCGCGAACAAAUGAGGGUCUAAGAGUGCCGGCCUUAAAGGAGCCCUCUCGUGCUGUAAAGUAACCAGAUGGCAGUUGGGCUAAAGGUCCCAGGAAAAACUCUAAGUGUGGAAUCGUGGGGGAAAGCCAAGACACUACGUUGGCGUGAAGGGAAGGCAGAAACCCUGCAGGGCGAAACACAUGGGCAUCAAGAGCUGCCACCCCCGGCCGGUGGGACACCGUGACUCAGAUCAGGAAGGACAGAGUGACGCAUCCUUCCCCCGAGAGACCCAGCUGUGUCUUCCCCCCAGUUGCUUCUUCAGGCAACAUGGCGGCACGCACACUCACUCGGGUGGGUGCCCCGUCCAGCCCCGUGCGGGCCUGUAUAGAAGGUGGCUCCACCUUCACCCUUCUGUGGUUUGCCUCGUGGCCUCCUGCUGUGGGGGGACUCCAGGGUGGACACCUGUCUGUACUAUAGGCCCUGCAACCUCUCCAUCUCCGUCUUCCCCCAGCCAUGUUUGAGGUCCUCGGCCCUUUCCUCUGUCCUUUAUCUCUGAUGGUCAUUGAGCCACCAGAUCCCGUCCGCCCUCGAUUAUGGUUGCCCCAGCUGCGCCUGCCUGCGUGCGGCCGUGUUUGAGUUGCAAGGGCGGUCCUGCAGUUGUCACCUGACUGACGGCAGCAUCCUUGUCUGGGGCUUUACGUAGGCCCGGGAACAUAGAUCUCUGCAAAACGGACCGUGUCUACAACCUUGCUCGGAUUGUAGCUCGCGAGACUAGCUCUGCUUUGCGAAGCUGGCAGGUGCUCCAAAGAGAUAGGGAAAGCUGUGUUCCCUGUGACUGUGUGGCUAUAAUCCCAGACUUGCCCCCAAGGGAGGGAAAAACAGGCCUGGGAAGGGGGCUCUCAGGAUUGUGUUGCCAUUGUCGCCAAACAUCCUUAGCUUCUACGUGUUUGCUUUGCUCUCGCUCCCGAGGUUGGUUCUGCUGGUGUUAUGGCAGCAGGGGCGCAGCAGGAUGCCUAUGGCAUGGCUGAUUCUCCGUGAACGUCUCAGGACGGGCCAGGACCUUCACUCCUUUCCUCAGCCGGAGGAGCACAGCAGGCUUUCAGGUGGGGAUGCUACUACGUGUAUGUCUUGUCGGGCGGCAGAGACAAGUGCGUCUUGAAGCCACGGCCAGAGCGAGCAGCAGGGGGGCUCUUGAAACGGGAAGGAGAGGUGGAGGGAUUUCAGCCAGGGUAGGGGGAAGAAGAGGGGGCACAUGGUGCGGUCAGGAACCCCCAAAAAGCAGAGGGAUUUUGGUAGGACUGUUGGGGGGCAGAUGGUCAUGAGAAGCAGAGUGCAGAAAGCCUUGGAUGCCAGACGAAGAACUUUCAUCUCCACCUGCUUCCUGAUGAGGAGUGAUUUUUUUUUAACAUCAAAGAAUUAUUCUAACAUUGAGGAGGGGACGUUAGUGUAUAUCAUAACCUCUAGAGCGCGUGACUUUGAAGGCUGGCCACCAAGUAUACACACGACAGUCAGCCAGAUGCUUCUGAUGUUCAUUAGGUGUUGACCCAGGACUCUUUGACGUGAGCACCUCAAAUGACGUUCUCAGGAAUUGCCACUUACUGUGGGCUCACUAGCUCAUCCCCUCUCAUGCUCCUACUGAUGUGUCUAUGACUUCACAACACAGGAACCCCCCCCCCCCCCCAGGAUUUGCAGGUCACCGAUUCAUCUUUCUUUGACCGCCUCAUGUAGAGGUAUCAUCCUGCGUGGGCCACAAGACCUGUUGAAUGCUUGCUGGUGGACAUUUGGUUUGUUUCCAGCCCGGGGCCAUGACAAAUAAAGCUGCUAUGAGCACUUGAGUGCA